rnacentral:rRNA from 1 species
UACGAAGGGGGCUAGCGUUGUUCGGAAUCACUGGGCGUAAAGCGCACGUAGGCGGCCUCUUAAGUCGGUGGUGAAAUCCUGGAGCUCAACUCCAGAACUGCCUUCGAUACUGAGAGUCUCGAGUCCGGGAGAGGUGAGUGGAACUGCGAGUGUAGAGGUGAAAUUCGUAGAUAUUCGCAAGAACACCAGUGGCGAAGGCGGCUCCCUGGCCCGGUACUGACGCUGAGGUGCGAAAGCGUGGGGAGCGAACAGG